GGAGCUCGAGGAGUCGAUGCGGAGGGAGUACCCGCAUCUAUUCGAGUCGACGAGUUAAGGUAUGCGUUUAAUUUCGCGAACGAAAUUAUUUUAAGGGGUGGAGAAUGUAAUAUACCGAAAAUUCGGAAAAUAAAAAUGUCGAACUUUAGUCAAAUUGACCAAAGUGCGAGGAUGGUACACUUCGGAAAGUCCGAAGGUGUUAAAAUGAUUAAAAGUGAGUUGCGGAAGGUUUUCGAGAGCUAAAAAAUCAAAUUCUGCAAACCUGCAAAUUUUGAGCUCUCGGGGACCGGUCCCUGGUGAGAGAGACCGGUCCCCGAACGCG
rnacentral:lncRNA from 1 species